UACGAAGGGGGCGAGCGUUGUUCGGAUUUACUGGGCGUAAGGGCGCGCAGGCGGUUCUGUUUGUCGAGUGUGAAAGCCCCGGGCUCAACCUGGGAACUGCGCUCGAAACGGCGGAACUAGAGUUCGGGAGAGGAGAGUGGAAUUCCCAGUGUAGAGGUGAAAUUCGUAGAUAUUGGGAAGAACACCGGUGGCGAAGGCGGCUCUCUGGACCGAUACUGACGCUGAGGCGCGAAAGCGUGGGGAGCAAACAGG
rnacentral:rRNA from 1 species